rnacentral:rRNA from 1 species
CUUGCUCCUGGGUGACGAGCGGCGGACGGGUGAGUAAUGUCUGGGAAACUGCCCGAUGGAGGGGGAUAACUACUGGAAACGGUAGCUAAUACCGCAUAACGUCUUCGGACCAAAGUGGGGGACCUUCGGGCCUCACACCAUCGGAUGUGCCCAGAUGGGAUUAGCUAGUAGGUGAGGUAAUGGCUCACCUAGGCGACGAUCCCUAGCUGGUCUGAGAGGAUGACCAGCCACACUGGAACUGAGACACGGUCCAGACUCCUACGGGAGGCAGCAGUGGGGAAUAUUGCACAAUGGGCGCAAGCCUGAUGCAGCCAUGCCGCGUGUGUGAAGAAGGCCUUCGGGUUGUAAAGCACUUUCAGCGAGGAGGAAGGGUUCGGUGUUAAUAGCACCGUUCAUUGACGUUACUCGCAGAAGAAGCACCGGCUAACUCCGUGCCAGCAGCCGCGGUAAUACGGAGGGUGCAAGCGUUAAUCGGAAUUACUGGGCGUAAAGCGCACGCAGGCGGUUUGUUAAGUCAGAUGUGAAAUCCCCGAGCUUAACUUGGGAACUGCAUUUGAAACUGGC